rnacentral:rRNA from 1 species
AGAGUUUGAUCCUGGCUCAGGAUGAACGCUAGCGGCGGGCUUAACACAUGCAAGUCGAGGGGCAGCAUGAAAUCUAUGUAUGUAGAUUUUGAUGGCGACCGGCGUACGGGUGCGUAACACGUACGUAACCUCCCUUUUGCUAGAAGAUAGCCUGAGGAAACUCGGAUUAAUAUUCUAUAGUAUAAUGAAAUCGCAUGAUUUUAUUAUUAAAGCAGCAAUGCGGCAAAAGAUGGGCGUGCGUCCGAUUAGUUAGUUGGUAGGGUAAAGGCUUACCAAGACAAUGAUCGGUAGGGGGCCUGAGAGGGUGAUCCCCCACACUGGUACUGAGACACGGACCAGACUCCUACGGGAGGCAGCAGUGAGGAAUAUUGGUCAAUGGAGGAAACUCUGAACCAGCCACGCCGCGUGCAGGAAGAAUGCCUUACGGGUUGUAAACUGCUUUUGUAUAGGAAUAAAGAUUCUUACGUGAUAAGGAUUGUGAAUGUACUAUACGAAUAAGUGUCGGCAAACUCCGUGCCAGCAGCCGCGGUAAUACGGAGGACACAAGCGUUAUCCGGAUUUAUUGGGUUUAAAGGGUGCGUAGGCGGUUUAUUAAGUCAGUAGUGAAAUGUUGCAGCUUAACUGUUAAAAUGGCUAUUGAUACUGGUAAACUUGAGUGAGAUUGGAGUAGCUGGAAUGUGUGGUGUAGCGGUGAAAUGCAUAGAUAUCACACAGAACACCGAUCGCGAAAGCAGGUUACUAAGUCUAUACUGACGCUGAGGCACGAAAGCGUGGGGAGCGAACAGGAUUAGAUACCCUGGUAGUCCACGCCGUAAACGAUGAGUGCUAAGUGUUAGGGGGUUUCCGCCCCUUAGUGCUGCAGCUAACGCAUUAAGCACUCCGCCUGGGGAGUACGGUCGCAAGAUUAAAACUCAAAGGAAUUGACGGGGGCCCGCACAAGCGGUGGAGCAUGUGGUUUAAUUCGAAGCAACGCGAAGAACCUUACCAAGGCUUGACAUCCAGUGCAAAGCUGUAGAAAUACAGUGGAGGUUAACAUUGAGACAGGUGGUGCAUGGUUGUCGUCAGCUCGUGCCGUGAGGUGUUUGGUUAAGUCCAGCAACGAGCGCAACCCUUGCCGUUAGUUACUCCAUUAAGUUGAGAUACUCUAACGGGACUGCUAGUGUAAGCUAGAGGAAGGUGGGGAUGACGUCAAAUCAUCAUGCCCCUUAUGUCUUGGGCUACACACGUGCUACAAUGGCCGGUACAAACAGUUGCGAUCUCGCAAGAGGGAGCUAAUCUGAAAAAGCCGGUCUCAGUUCGGAUUGAGGGCUGCAACUCGCCCUCAUGAAGCCGGAAUCGCUAGUAAUCGCGAAUCAGCAAUGUCGCGGUGAAUACGUUCUCGGGUCUUGUACACACCGCCCGUCACACCAUGAGAGUUGGUAAUACCAGAAGUCGGUAUCCUAACCGUAAGGAGGGAGCCGCCCAAGGUAGGAUCGAUGAUUAGGGUGAAGUCGUAACAAGGUAUCCGUACGAGAACGUGCGGAUG